rnacentral:lncRNA from 1 species
CCUCAAACUCCACUUUCAGUGGAGUUUGGUAGCACUUCCGGUCUCAAACUCCACACUUGUGAAGUUUGUGAGUUACAUAAAAAAUUAAAUUCCUAGCCAGGUCUUCCUAUUGGGUGAGGAGGCCCUUCCAAAGUUCCAGCGAAUUCCUUAGUCUGACAACUUUUCUCAAUUCAGAAAGAUGUGUUUGGUAACAUAUAUUAAAAGGCAGAAAUAUGCAAAUGCAUAAACAAUAGAAUUUGACAUAAUUAUGUGAUAAAGUGAAAUGCUCCUGCAGUUAGUUAUUGAACAUGAAGGACCUCUCUAAUUCUUCAGAGAAACUGUGAGAUAAUCUCUACCAUUUAUGCUUAGCAAGGAGCCAUGCUGCAGAGGAAAAGUAGAAAUACACACGAGUGACAAAAGCAAAAAAAUAUAUAUAUGAAAAACUCUGAAACCACCCUCAAUGAAAAGUAAUAUGUCUGUAUUUAAAGAGUAGGUAAAUCAUAUAGUGAAUUUAGAAGGUAAAAAAUGAGGUCUAUAAUUACAUGAGUAUAUAGAAAAUGUUAAGUGUUUUCGUGAAAAGCUAUAUAAACAAUAAUGAAUAAUCAUUUCACAUUGAAAAUAAUUUAAUUUUAAAAGGAGAUAGUACAAAUAACAAAAAAAAAAGUCGAAGUAUGGAAAUAGUAGAAAUUUCAAAUAUUUUAGGAAUGUCUUUCUCCAGAGUAGCAUGUUGUUUAGAAACUAAAUUUCCACAGUAGAUUUCAUAGCUCCUGAACAUGAAUUAAAACUUUGAUAUUAGCUGCAGAAAUGUACAUUAGUUUGUGGGGAGGGGAUAAAGAAAAUAAUGUGCCAACCUCCCAACAAUUUCCCCAAACAGAUUUUUGCAUCUUGGUCAUUACACUUACUUUCAAGAUUCUUUUCUUGGUUUAAACAUGUAAUCUUGUCUCUUUGCUCACCUGCUCACUCUUCAAGCAAGCCUACGGCCAAAUAAAUUGCCAUACAUGUUUACCAAUAAACCAUUAUUUUCCAAGGAA